rnacentral:rRNA from 1 species
UACGUAGGGUGCAAGCGUUGUCCGGAAUUAUUGGGCGUAAAGAGCUCGUAGGCGGUUUGUCGCGUCUGCUGUGAAAACCCGAGGCUCAACCUCGGGCCUGCAGUGGGUACGGGCAGACUAGAGUGCGGUAGGGGAGAAUGGAAUUCCUGGUGUAGCGGUGGAAUGCGCAGAUAUCAGGAGGAACACCGGUGGCGAAGGCGGGACUCUGGGCCGAUACUGACGCUGAGGAGCGAAAGCGUGGGGAGCAAACAGG